AACAGAAAACAAUAUUUUACCUCAAGUUCUCUUUGGAGGAUUGACAGCCCAUACUGUCCUCUUCGAGCAAUCCAGGAACUCACUCGCUACUAGUUUCGCCUUCUCGAUGACAUCAAGCGCGUCGUUAAAGACGGCACGCGAUGACUGGUCAGGAAGCAACGUGUAGUCUGACAUGUUUCUUGUCCACGACACGACAAGAUUUUAGGAGUCAAAAUCGCGUAAUCUGACACAGUGACUAUCGUAACAGACAAAAAAAAUCGUGUAAUCUGAACCAGGCAUUAAA